AUUAUCUGUUAAAAGAAAAGCAAAUUAUUCAUUUUAAAAAUGUUAUUUUUUGUUGAAGUAUAAUUGAUAUAAAGUAUCCUGUUAUUUUCAGGUAUAUAACAUAGGGAUUUGAUAUUUUUAUACAUUAUGAAAUGAUCCCCACAAGAGGUCUAGUUGCCAUCUGUCAUCACACAAAAUUAUUACGUUAUAGACUAUAUUCCUUGUGCUGUACUUUUCAUGUCUGUGAUUUAUGGAUUGUAUAACUGGAAGUUUGUACCACUUAAUCCCCUUCAUCUAUUUUGCCCAUCCCCCAACACAGCUCCCCUCCGGCAACUGCCAGUUUGGUCUCUAUUUUUAAUAGUCUGGGGUUUUGUUUGUUCAUUUGUUUUGCUUUUUAAAGAGUCCACAUAGAAGUGAAACCACACGGUAUUGGUCUUUCUCUGACUUAUUUCACUAGCAUAAUACCCCCUAGGACCAUCUAUGUUGUUGUAAAUGUAAAGACUUCAUUCUUUUUAAUGGCUGAGUAUAUUCCAUUGUCUUUAUACACACCACAUCUUCCUUAUACAUUCAUUUCUUGAUGGAUACUUAAGUUGCUUUCAUUUCGUGGCUAUUAUAAAUAAUGCUGCAGUGAACACAGGGGUACAUACAUCUCUUAAAAUUGGUAUUUGCAAAUUACUCAUUUUAAAAGCCAAAGUGCAUCAUUAGUAGUCUGGCAUGAGUUGCCCAUCUCUUCACUAAAAAAGAUAAACUAUGAUUUUUGUGUCCCAGAUUAUAUCAUGUAUAAGGAAAAACUGGAUUUGUCCUAACUACUAAUCUCAGCUAUCCAAAAAGGCAAAUAAUUUGUUAAUAAAUUAACAUCUGUACUCAAGCAUCCCCCAAUUUACUUAUAGAUCUUCUCUUGGCCACCAGGCUUUCAUGACAUCUUCAGGUUUGAUCUAAUUAAGUCAAACACAUUAAGGGAGCAUGGCUACAGAUGUUAAUGUAUUUUAUUAAAUUUAUUUUUCAUGUUUUAUUUUUUGUCUUUUUUGAGAGACAAAGAGAGACAGAGUGCAAGCAGGGGAGGGGAAGAGAGAGAGGGAGACACAGAAUCUGAAGCAGGCUCCAGAGCUGUCCGCACAGAGCCUGAUGCGGGACUUGAACCCAUGAAUGUGAGAUCAUGACCUGAGCUGAAGUCAGACACUAAACCGAAUGAGCCACCCAAGCGCCCAGAUGUUAAUGUAUUUUUAAAGUCAUCUGCUGAUGAAAUGGGAAGAGAGCGUGAGUGGAGGAGGGGAAGAGAGAGACGGGGAGACACAGAAUCUGAAGCAGGCUCCAAGCUCUGUGCUGUCAGCACAGAGUCCGACGUGGGGCUCCAAGUCACAAACUAUGAGAUCAUGACCUGAGUGGAAGUUGGACGCUUAACCGACUGAGCCACCCAGGUGCCCCUGCAAUGAACUUUUUUUUUCCACUCUGGAAAUGUCCUAUGAAAUCUGAUACCUGCAAUGAUGCGGCAGAAGAACAUCUGUGAUUCUCUUGGCAACAGGUAUAAGCAAGUACUGCUAAAGCUAAUAUGAUUUGUUGCUGAUGUUUAUAAUGGAAGGAAAUGCUAAAUUUCAGUUGGAGGAGGAUCCCGUCUAUUUUCCUGCGAGCUCUUGGCAUCUUUCUGAAACCCGCAGAAGUCACCGUGUUUUGCCUCUGUUACACUGUCAAGCUCCCUGGGGUUGAAAUCGAUGUUUAAUUCAUCUUUUGUUUCCCAAGGCACCUGGCACUCUGCGACCAUUUGCUAUUGAGAAGUCAUGCACCAAGUCAUGAGAACACUCAAGCAGCCUGUGGAGAAGCCUAUGGGAAGAAACUGGGCCUCCCACGAACUUCUGGCACCACCAUGCCAGCCUUGUCACUGCACCACCUUGGAACCAAAUCUUCCAGCUCCAGUCGAUUCUGAUGACUGUAACCCUGGUGACAUCUUGACCAUAGCCUCAUGCUGUGCCCUGGGCCAGAAGCGCUCAGCUCAGCAGUGCCUGAAUUUGUGACCUGCACAAACAGUGAGUUUGAUGAAUCUUCAUUGCUGUUUAAUUUUGCGGUUUUUUGAAAUACAGCUCACAUCCAUACAGUGAUUUUUAGUAUAUUCAUUGUUACACAACUGUUUCCGCUAUCUUAUUCUAGAACAUUUCUGUUACCUCAAAGUGCUACCCCAUACCUUUUAACAAUCACUCUUAGUUCCCUCACUCUAGUGCAUCACCUGACAACAACUAAUCUAUUAUCUGACUCUAAGGAUUUCCCUGUUGUGGGCAUUUGCUAUAAAUAGAAUCUUAUGAUGUGCAAUCUUUUGUGAAUGACUUCUUUCGCAUAUAUAUCAUAAAGUUUCCAAGGUUGAUCCAUGUUGCAGCACGAGUCAAUCAUUCAUUCCUUUUUUUGUUAAUGCUUAUUUAUUUUUGAUAGAGAGGGAGAACGUGAACAGGGGAGGGCAGAGGGAGAUACAGAAUCCAAAGCAGGCUCCAGGCUCUGAGCUGUCCGCAUAGAGCCCGACGUGUGGCUUGAACUCACGAACUGUGAGAUCAUAACCUGAGCUAAGUCGGAUACUCAACCUACUGAGCCGCCCAGCUGCCCCCAUUCAUUCCUUUUUUAAAAAAGACUUUUUGUUAGAGUAGUUCUAGGUUUAAUAUGAAAUUGAGAGGAAGGUACAGAGAUUGCCCAUACGCCCCCUGUCCCCACACAUGCAUAGUCUCCCUCAUUAUCAAUGUUGCUCACCAGAAUGGUACAUUUUUUGGUGAGGAUGAACCUGUAUCGACUCGUCGUUAAUCACCCAAAGUCCAUAGUUCACCUUAGGGUAUAUGCUUGGUGUUGUACAAUCUGUGGGUUUGGGCAAAUGAAUGACAUAUAUCUAUCAUUAUAAUAUCGUGCAGAGUACUUUUGGUACUCUAAAAAUCCUCUUUGCUCUGCCUUCACUCCUUUUUAUAGGUGAAUAAUAUUCCAUAGUAAAGCUAAUUUGUUUAUCCAUUCUUCAGCUGAUGGACAUUUGGGUUGUUUCCACUUUUGGCCUAUUGUGAAUAAUGCUGCCAUGAACAUUUGAGGAUAAGUUUUUGUGUGGACAUAUUUUUCAGUUGUCUUGGUGUGUGUCUAUACUGGAAUUGCUGGACCGUAUGGUAACUCUGUUUGGCUUUUUUAAGGACCUGUUACAGUGCUUUCCGCAGCAGCAUCCCCAUCACAUGCUAGUAAUGUACAAGGAUUCUGAUUUCCCCAAAUCCUUGCCAACACUUGUUAUUGUCCGUGUGCAUGAUUAUAGCCAUCCUGUUGUGUGUGAAGUGGUAUCUCAUUGUGGUUUUGAUUUGCAUUUGCCUAAUGACUUAAUGAGGUCAAGCAUCUUUUCAUGUGCAUUUUGGCCAUUUGUGUAUCUUUUUUGGAGAAAUGCCCAUUGUUUAUUUGGGUUGUCUUUUGUUUAUAGACUUUUAAGAGUUCUUUGUUUAUUCUAGGUACUACAACGUUAUCAGAUACAAUUUACAAAUAGUUUUUCUUAUUUUGUGGUUUGUCUUCCCUUUUUGAUACUAUUAUUGGACAUAAAAUUUUAAAAAUUUUGAUAAUUUCCGGUUCAAUUACUUUUACUUUGGUUGCUUAUGCUGUCAGUGUCAUACUGAAGAAACUGACGUGAACGCAAGGUUGCAGUAUGGCAGAGAAGGAGAGAAAAGUGGGGGCACAGAGGGUAGUGGGAAGUCAUGUUGGGGUAAGGUGAGGGAAGGCAGUAUCCCUUUGUCCCAUCCUUGUAGGAGUUUUCAGGGUGCAUGGAGACCCCUCACAUAUGUGACUGCCUUCAUAUAUCUCUCAGCGAAAACGUCCAUAUCGGAAUAUCCCUGUUGUGAUGUUGUCUCUGCACUUUCAAGACUCAGUGUUUAGCCUUUUGGGUUCUCUCAGAGGGACUGUUUUCUAAAUUUAAAGGCCCAUUAAAAAGUCUCAGUAUUUUCUGGUUGUUGAGUUCACCGCAGCUUCAGGGAUCUACUCAUCUGGCUGGCCAUUGUAGGCAGUGCUUUGUUUUGGUGAACGCUAGCUUCUCACCUUUAUGUUCCUUUUGCAGUUUGUAUAGCAUCACGUCAGUCCUGCAGGCUCUGUGGGUUCCUCGCCAGGCCAGGAAGCCUGAGCCCAAGUUUGGGCACAUGGCAGUGAAGGUGCCUUGAAGUGACCUGUCUUCAUGUGGGCCCCUGGCCCAAGCUCUUGAGUUUUCAGAAGCUUUUGACAGAUUGAUCCCACAGGAUUUUUAAUUCCUUCCACUUGGAGGCUAAGGCCAUAAUAUGCUGUUGGGAAAAUGUAGGUGAUAUCCUGUAGGCCGAAAUGGGAUGCUCUUAUUUGAGCAACACAGUUGUGAAGUUCCUUUUUCUCAGAUGAGGUGACUUUUUCUAAGGUUAUCUAUUCAAAUUUGCACAGAGCUUUCCAAGUGUUUCUUUUUUGAGAUACUUUUUUGAUAUUGUUGUCCUACAGUUGUUGGAGGAAAAGUAGAAACUUUUCCAAAACACGGGCUUUCUUCUAGAAUAGGUCUUUGUCAAAAGUUUGUUGAGUAUCGUUUGACAAGUGUAAAGAGAAAGUAACUUUUUUCUCUCCUACUUAUGCAUGAAAAGUCCCUUGGGGAUAUGUUCUUCCCUAGUCUGGGAGGAAAUUUCCAGAAGGUCCGAUAGCCAACUGUUAACUCUUAAAUAAGCAACCAUCCUGUGAUCACUUCCAAGCAGCUAGAAGCACAGUGUACUAUAACAGUCAAAAUGCUAUGUUCCUGAAUACUGGGAAUUUCUGUCUAAACCAACUGGAGCCUUCAUGGAUUUUGUCAUCCUGCCGGUGAUGUGUGCAUAUGUGUUAAUAGGAUAGAUAUAGUACUUCUUGUUGCCUUUCCUCUCUUCAUCUGCUCCCUCUACUCCUUGAUCACCAUUCCGGAUGUGAUCUCCAGGGAGAGAGGUGUGUGGAGAAGACCACAUCUUGGCCUGGUCUGUAAAGUUGUAAUGUGGUUUGGGGGCUGUGAACAGUGAAGUCCUGAGCUGACACCAUCGUGGACACAUUUCGAGCUUCCUAAAGGGACCUGAGACUGCUGGCUCCUGCCUCAUCAGGUGCCUUUCCUCUAACUGGCCACGAAAUAACCCACAUUUCUGUUGGGGUCACUACUUCUCUGGCUUCUCUACCUUGGUGCCUUCCCUUUAAGACAACCGGGUAUACUCACUUUUAUAGGGUUCUCAUGUCGACCUUGGAAGUCACAGUCCUGUGAAUGUGGACGAACUGUAGUUUGCAUUCAGUCCAGCCCUCUUAUCAUAUCUUCUAGCCAGACAUCUCCAGCCCUUGACUCCUGACCUGCUUGCACGAGUCGGACAUUAGUUCUGGUAUCUGGCUAACUGAAGAAGACAUGAGUCCAGCUUUCUCAAGCUUGCUUUUAUUUGCUUUUAUUUGAUUAAGGUCAGGAGGAAGUGAUCUUUGUUUGGUCCUUAUGAGAGUGGAGAAAAUGCUUACUAUUAUCGCUUUCUCAGGGUACACGUACUGACUUCGGAAAACCACAGGCUUUUCCUCCACAGGUCUUCC